rnacentral:lncRNA from 1 species
GUCGUCCCUCUUUUAUUAAACUAUAUAGUCUAAUAAGAAUACUGAAGACAGUAUGUUUGCGGAUAGUUCAUUCAAAAACUUAAGACACGAACAGAUCGAUCAAGUUAACUUUUUUCAUAUUUCAGGAAAGUAUGAGAAUUAUGAUAUCGACCAAUCACAUAGUUGGAACAGGAACAUAUAUAUACUGAGUGCCAAUGAAAACGCAACACUUUUGUUUUUCAAAAAAAAAAAAAAAAAAAAAUAUUUAUAUUAGAACUUUGUAUAGUUGGUUGAAAAUGAUUUUAAGUCAAUUGUCGACAAUUUUACGGUUGAGUGAUUUUUGGAACAAAUGCGAAGUAAGGGUUAUUUUGAACGGACAUAAACCGAGUUCACCGCUUUUCAACAUACCCACCAUUUUCACGAUUUUGUCAUUUAAAGCUUGGCUAAUGUCAUGAAUUUUCCCGCCCUUAUUGUUAACAAACUGCAAUAAACAUCUGAGUAAAUGCCAGGACUUUCUCACAACCAGCGACAUGCAGUUUUCGGCAUGAUCCAAUGAAGCCUUUCACAGUAUACAAUUACGAGAAGACUGAAGCUGUAGCCUCUACAACAACCCAAAUCAUCCACAAAUUCAACCAAAAUGAAUCAUUUAAUGAUAUUACAGCCACAUCCCGGGAUACAAAAAGCAAGAAACGCUCAGCAAGACCGAUACAUUUGGUCUUUAACAUAUCCGAUAUCGACUCUGAUGGCUGUUCAAAGGUCACGAGAGUUCAAUGGUGGUCACGGUAGAACCUUUGGAGCAAUUUCAGUAAAGCACCAUUUGCGCAGAAAUUGUUAAAGAGCACCACAGUUUUUCCUUAGUGACAUCUAAACGGCCGUCUGGCGUAAACAUCGAAUUCUG